rnacentral:lncRNA from 1 species
GUGAAAUGGAGUGAGGCAUACCAGGAUAUGCCUGGUUUUACUCUUGGGAAGGAGGUUGAACAGUGCAAUAUUUCUUCUAUAGGAUUGCAGUGACCAGACAUGCUACUGUAACUCUCAUGGUCAUGUGCUGGAAUUAGCAGAUAUUCAACAAUUUGGCCAUCUCGCUGACCUAUUGAUAUCAGAAGACCGCAGCAGCUCUGCAAAGCAAGUUGCAAAACAGAAUCCAUGAAAGUGGCAGUGACCGGAAACCAGUUGGAAGACUUUGGUCUGUGAUGUAGAGGAGUGGGCAGAGGUAGCAGAAGCAAAGACAACAAAAAACAGAAGUGAUAUGGAUGUCUUCGUCAUAUGGCAUGACUCUGCUGACCCAGCAACAAAGAGGAGGGUCUUCAACAUCAUCCUGCUAGUCAGGAUUCUUCAGGAGAAGCAGUGGAUUCUUGUGGCAGAGAUGGCCAACCACUAUAAAUACCUUUCAACUCAUCCUGGUUCCUUCAAAGAACUUUCCUGCUUGUUUGCUACUGAAAAGUAUGUAUUUGUAUUAUUUGGCACAGACAUAAGCAUAAGGUUACCCAGUCCAAAGGAUAUUAAUAUAUUUUUAUGUUGUUGUGUUCUUCUUUUAAGAUUCGACAUGUGGCCUAAACGAAGAGGGGUUAAAAGGUCUAUGGAUCAUCAUUCUCAGAAAGCAACAAAAUAACUGAGAAAUAAACAACAAUACGAUGGUGCAAUCUAGAGACCUGCAAGGUACUUGCAAGUUUUGGCUGGAGCAGAGAACAUAGAUUUUUUUAAAUAAAGCUCCAGCUGAUGAAUAUGACAUUGACUGUGGAUUUUCUUUUACUGUAAUCCAGAAGAGGAUGACCUUAACCCUGAAUCUAAAGCAUGUAAUGCAAUCUGUAAAAAAAAUAAAAUAAAAAUUUCAUCUUCUAUAACCAAAUUGUUGUCUCUUUUUUUUUUUUAAAUACAUAGAUAUGUACGGU